CCCAUAAGCAGAAAAUUACUAAUGAUCCACAUCAAUGCAGUCUUCAUCCUAAAAUUUUGCUUCUUCAAUACAUCAAAAGUAUUUAUGCCAUUGGACCAUAAGAAUUUUAGCUCAUCAAGAAGAGACCUUAGAUAUACAUCAAUGCUCCAAUCAGGGUAUCGUGAUCCAGGAAUGACUAAUGUAAGAAAGAUAUUAUGUUCUUUUAUACACAUCCCAAGCGACAGAUUGUAUGG
rnacentral:lncRNA from 1 species